rnacentral:rRNA from 1 species
AUUGAACGCUGGCGGCAGGCCUAACACAUGCAAGUCGAGCGGAGCGGCGGACGGGGGAGUAAGGCCAAGGAAUCGGCAAGGGAGUGGGGGAUGAGGUCCGGAAACGGGCGCUGAUACCGCAUACUAUCGGAAGAGGCUAGGCCGGAUUAGCAAGUGGGUGGGGUAAAGGCCUACCAAGGCGACGAUCCGUAACUGGUCUGAGAGGAUGAUCAGUCACACUGGAACUGAGACACGGUCCAGACUCCUACGGGAGGCAGCAGUGGGGAAUAUUGGACAAUGGGCGAAAGCCUGAUCCAGCCAUGCCGCGUGUGUGAAGAAGGUCUUCGGAUUGUAAAGCACUUUCAGUUGGGAGGCGUUACCAACAGAAUAAGCACCGGCUAACUUCGUGCCAGCAGCCGCGGUAAUAC